AAAGCUGGAUAGCAGUACAACCUGCAAAAAAAAAAACAGAAACUGAUCCUCUGACGAAAAUGUACCUACAUUGAUUGUAGGCCUUAUCGUAGACCCAAUAGCGAUGAGAAAGGGUUCUUCUAAUUAAUAUAAUUAAAUACUAAUAUCAUAACCAACAUAGAACUGAAAUCUGCCUGCUCUUGGCAUGGUGUGUUAGUUUUGAGACCGGCAUAGCUUAACUAAUUGAUUGGAAAUUCCUGAAAAAUACCUUUGACUACACUCAAUAUGUUUCUUUAUAUAUCAUCAAAGCUAAAAACAUCUGGAUCUAAGUUGGAUUUAUCUUGUGGCAUUGAUGUUGAUGAACCCCUACAUGCCACGGUCCGUAUGGAAAGAUCUAUAGCAAACUUAGCAUCUCUCGGCUAUAUUAAUAAUUGGUAUCUUUAAUAAAUACAGUGCCAGCUAAUGUUUUAUGUGUUCAUGCAGAAAAGUGCAUUAGAGGAUCAGCCAUAAUAGCAGAGCCACGAAUUCCGUAAUUUUCAGUGUGAAUUUCCACUGAAUUUCUAUCUGAAAGUAUCUUUUAUAUUAUUUAUGAUUAUGAUUAACACAAAUCACGAAUGAAUUAUGAACAAAAUGCCAACUAAUUUCAUAAUACAAUAAUUUCACGAGCUGCA